GAGCAUAAGCCAUUGGUGUUCUGUUCAGGU
rnacentral:piRNA from 1 species